UACAGAGGGGGCAGGCGUUGUUCGGAAUUACUGGGCGUAAAGGGCGCGUAGGCGGCCUGUUAAGUCGGACGUGAAAUCCCUCGGCUCAACCGGGGAACUGCGUCCGAUACUGGCGGGCUUGAAUUCGGGAGAGGGAUGUGGAAUUCCAGGUGUAGCGGUGAAAUGCGUAGAUAUCUGGAGGAACACCGGUGGCGAAGGCGGCAUCCUGGACCGACAUUGACGCUGAGGCGCGAAAGCCAGGGGAGCAAACGGG
rnacentral:rRNA from 1 species